UUGUCAGCCUAUCACUUGUCCAAU
rnacentral:siRNA from 1 species